rnacentral:rRNA from 1 species
CAGCAGCCGCGGUAAUACCGGCGGCCCGAGUGGCGGUCACUAUUAUUGGGCUUAAAGCGUCCGUAGCCGGGUUGGGAAGUCCUCCGGGAAAUCUGGCCGCUUAACGGUCAGAAUGCCGGAGGAUACUCCCAGCCUAGGGAGGGGGAGAGGCCGAGGGGAUUCCCGGGGUAGGGGGGAAAUCCUAUAAUCCCGGGGGGACCACCUGUGGCGAAGGCGCUCGGCUGGAACGCGUCCGACGGUGAGGGACGAAGGCCAGGGGAGCAAACCGGAUUAGAUACCCGGGUAGUCCUGGCUGUAAACGAUGCGGACUUUGUGUCGGACAAGCUAUGAGCUUGUCCGGUGCCGGAGGGAAACCGUUAAGUCCGCCGCCUGGGGAGUACGGCCGCAAGGCUGAAACUUAAAGGAAUUGGCGGG